CAAAAGUCAGGAGGCCUGGGUUUAAGCUCUAACUACGUCUCUCCGGGCCUGCCCUUCCUUUGUCAAUCGAAGGCGCCACAUCAGUGAUCUUUACGCUCCCUUCCAUCUUUGCACGGACACCCUUUUUGGGGCAUCUAUUGUCACACAACAGCCUACUGCCGACAUGUCCUUGAGAUGUGCAAAACAGGCGAGCACACUAGAAAGAUAAUGGCAGGCAAGCUCAAGAAUCUCCCUCAGGGAUGGAAAUGAUUCACUGUUCAGCUACUCGUUCAGUCCUUGGCCCAGCUAUUGCCUGAGUGAUGGAAGGAGCUCUCAGCAAGAUAAUGAUGUCUAAGGCCAUUUCAGGAGCCGUCCCUGGUGAAAAAGUACAGCUGUGAAAGCUGCUGUGGAGUUGGCCCUGGCAAACAGAAUACUGCUUUAAGAAAAAGGAUUACGACUAAUAACUGGUUUGGAGAGAUACUGCUCAAAUCACCGGCCAGUUCUUCAGAUCGCACAACUUGCCAGAGUUCUUUCCUCAGCAUCCCAGGGGGGCCUCACAGCUGUCUGUGGAGAGGGCCUAUUACACUGCAGUGUACAAAGGAACUACGUGAAUGAACGAGGCUGAUCCUGGAAC